UACGGAGGGUGCAAGCGUUAAUCGGAAUUACUGGGCGUAAAGGGCGCGUAGGCGGUCUUCUAAGUCCUGUGUGAAAUCCCUCGGCUCAACUGAGGAACUGCACGGGAUACUGGAUGACUUGAGUUCGGGAGAGGGAAGCGGAAUUCCGGGUGUAGCGGUGAAAUGCGUAGAUAUCCGGAGGAACGCCGGUGGCGAAGGCGGCUUCCUGGACCGACACUGACGCUGAGGCGCGAAAGCUAGGGGAGCAAACGGG
rnacentral:rRNA from 1 species